rnacentral:rRNA from 1 species
GGACGAACGCUGGCGGCGUGCUUAACACAUGCAAGUCGAGCGGAAAGGCCCUUCGGGGUACUCGAGCGGCGAACGGGUGAGUAACACGUGAGUAACCUGCCCCAGACUUUGGGAUAACCCUCGGAAACGGGGGCUAAUACCGGAUACGACACAGCUUCGCAUGGGGUCUGUGUGGAAAGUUUUUCGGUUUGGGAUGGGCUCGCGGCCUAUCAGCUUGUUGGUGGGGUGAUGGCCUACCAAGGCGACGACGGGUAGCCGGCCUGAGAGGGCGACCGGCCACACUGGGACUGAGACACGGCCCAGACUCCUACGGGAGGCAGCAGUGGGGAAUAUUGCACAAUGGGCGGAAGCCUGAUGCAGCGACGCCGCGUGAGGGAUGACGGCCUUCGGGUUGUAAACCUCUUUCAGCAGGGACGAAGCGUAAGUGACGGUACCUGCAGAAGAAGCGCCGGCCAACUACGUG